rnacentral:misc_RNA from 1 species
GAUGAAGAACGUAGUGAAAUGCGAUACUUGGUGUCAAUUGCAGAAUCCCGUGAACCAUCGAGUCUUUGAACGCAAGUUGCGCCCGAAGCCAUUAGGCCGAGGGCACGCCUGCCUGGGCGUCACACGUCGUUGCCCCCCCAUCUACUCCUUCGGGAUUGCGGGGGGCGGAUGAUGGCCUCCCGUGCGCCUCGUCGCGCGGUUGGCAUAAAUGCCAAGUCCUCGGCGACGCACGCCACGACAAUCGGUGGUUGCGAAACCUCGGUUGCCCGUCGUGUGCGGUCGUCGCGCAUCGAGGGCUCGAAAAAAUUGUCGGGCUCCGGCUCGGCUUUCAACGCGACCCCAGGUCAGGCGGGGUUACCCGCUGAAUUUAAGCAUAUCAAUAAGCGGAGGA